rnacentral:rRNA from 1 species
AAUAUUGCACAAUGGGGGAAACCCUGAUGCAGCAACGCCGCGUGAGCGAAGAAGGCCUUAGGGUCGUAAAGCUCUGUCCUAAGGGAAGAUAAUGACGGUACCUUAGGAGGAAGCCCCGGCUAACUACGUGCCAGCAGCCGCGGUAAUACGUAGGGGGCGAGCGUUGUCCGGAAUUACUGGGCGUAAAGGGUGCGUAGGCGGCCCUUUAAGUCAGAUGUGAAAGCCCGCAGCUUAACUGCGGAAUUGCAUUUGAAACUGGAGGGCUUGAGUGUCGGAGAGGGUAGUGGAAUUCCCAGUGUAGCGGUGAAAUGCGUAGAUAUUGGGAGGAACACCAGUGGCGAAGGCGACUGCCUGGACGAUAACUGACGCUGAGGCACGAAAGCUAGGGGAGCAAAC